rnacentral:rRNA from 1 species
GAUGAACGCUAGCGGCAGGCUUAACACAUGCAAGUCGAGGGGCAGCAUGAGAGUUACUUGUAACUCUUGAUGGCGACCGGCGUAAGGGUGCGUAACACGUGAACAACUUGCCCAUAACAGAGGGAUAAGCAGUGGAAACGCUGACUAAUACCUCAUAACAAUGAGAGUCUCAUGACUUUUAUUUGAAAACUCAGGUGGUUAUGGAUAGGUUCGCGCCCCAUUAACUAGUCGGUGAGGUAACGGCUCACCGAGGCGACGAUGGGUAGGGGUUCUGAGAGGAAGGUCCCCCACACUGGAACUGAGACACGGUCCAGACUCCUACGGGAGGCAGCAGCGAGGAAUAUUGGUCAAUGGACGCAAGUCUGAACCAGCCAUGCCGCGUGCAGGAAUAAUGCCCUAUGGGUUGUAAACUGCUUUUGAUGCAGAGCAAUAAUAUCUACGAGUAGAUAGAUGAGAGUAUGUAUCGAAUAAGCACCGGCUAACUCCGUGCCAGCAGCCGCGGUAAUACGGAGGGUGCAAGCGUUAUCCGGAAUUAUUGGGUUUAAAGGGUGCGUAGGCUGUACGGUAAGUCAGAGGUGAAAUACCUGUGCCCAACAGAGGAAUUGCCUUUGAUACUGCCGUACUUGAGUGAUAGUGCCGUGGGAGGAAUGUGUAGUGUAGCGGUGAAAUGCAUAGAUAUUACACAGAACACCGAUUGCGAAGGCAUCUCACGAAUUAUCAACUGACGCUGAUGCACGAAAGCGUGGGUAUCGAACAGGAUUAGAUACCCUGGUAGUCCACGCAGUAAACGAUGAUAACUAACCGCUGGCGAUAUAUUGAUCAGUGGCCAAGCGAAAGCGAUAAGUUAUCCACCUGGGGAGUACGACCGCAAGGUUGAAACUCAAAGGAAUUGACGGGGGCCCGCACAAGCGGAGGAACAUGUGGUUUAAUUCGAUGAUACGCGAGGAACCUUACCCGGGCUCGAACGGCAGAUGAAUGUAUAAGAGAUUAUACAGUCUUCGGACAUCUGUCGAGGUGCUGCAUGGUUGUCGUCAGCUCGUGCCGUGAGGUGUCGGCUUAAGUGCCAUAACGAGCGCAACCCUUGUCUUUAGUUACCAGCAUGUAAUGAUGGGGACUCUAAAGAGACUGCCGCCGCAAGGUGAGAGGAAGGGGGGGAUGACGUCAAAUCAGCACGGCCCUUACGUCCGGGGCGACACACGUGUUACAAUGGAGGUUACAGAGGGAAGCUACUGGGUGACCAGAUGCAGAUCUUAUAAAAGCCUCCUCAGUACGGAUUGGAGUCUGCAACUCGACUCCAUGAAGCUGGAUUCGCUAGUAAUCGCGCAUCAGCCAUGGCGCGGUGAAUACGUUCCCGGGCCU